rnacentral:rRNA from 1 species
AUUGAACGCUGGCGGCAGGCCUAACACAUGCAAGUCGAACGGUAGCACAGAGGAGCUUGCUCCUCGGGUGACGAGUGGCGGACGGGUGAGUAAUGUCUGGGGAUCUGCCCGAUAGAGGGGGAUAACCACUGGAAACGGUGGCUAAUACCGCAUAACGUCGCGAGACCAAAGAGGGGGACCUUCGGGCCUCUCACUAUCGGAUGAACCCAGAUGGGAUUAGCUAGUAGGCGGGGUAACGGCCCACCUAGGCGACGAUCCCUAGCUGGUCUGAGAGGAUGACCAGCCACACUGGAACUGAGACACGGUCCAGACUCCUACGGGAGGCAGCAGUGGGGAAUAUUGCACAAUGGGCGCAAGCCUGAUGCUGCCAUGCCGCGUGUAUGAAGAAGGCCUUCGGGUUGUAAAGUACUUUCAGCGGGGAGGAAGGCGAUGUGGUUAAUAACCGCAUUGAUUGACGUUACCCGCAGAAGAAGCACCGGCUAACUCCGUGCCAGCAGCCGCCGUAA